rnacentral:rRNA from 1 species
UGAGUAACGCGUGGGUAACCUGCCCUUAAGUCUGGGAUACCAUUUGGAAACAGAUGCUAAUACCGGAUAAAAGCUACUUUCGCAUGAAAGAAGUUUAAAAGGCGGCGUAAGCUGUCGCUAAAGGAUGGACCUGCGAUGCAUUAGCUAGUUGGUAAGGUAACGGCUUACCAAGGCGAUGAUGCAUAGCCGAGUUGAGAGACUGAUCGGCCACCAUUGGGACUGAGACACGGCCCAAACUCCUACGGGAGGCAGCAGCC